rnacentral:rRNA from 1 species
GAUGAACGCUGGCGGCGUGCCUAAUACAUGCAAGUCGAGCGAACGGACGAGAAGCUUGCUUCUCUGAUGUUAGCGGCGGACGGGUGAGUAACACGUGGAUAACCUACCUAUAAGACUGGGAUAACUUCGGGAAACCGGAGCUAAUACCGGAUAAUAUUUUGAACCGCAUGGUUCAAAAGUGAAAGACGGUCUUGCUGUCACUUAUAGAUGGAUCCGCGCUGCAUUAGCUAGUUGGUGAGGUAACGGCUUACCAAGGCAACGAUGCAUAGCCGACCUGAGAGGGUGAUCGGCCACACUGGAGCGGAGACGCGGUCCAGACUCCUGCGGGAGGCAGCAGUAGGGAAUCUUCCGCAAUGGGCGAAAGCCUUACGGAGCAACGGCGCGUGAGUGAUGAAGGUCUUCGGAUCGUGAAACUGUGUUAUUAGGGAAGAACAUAUGUGUAAGUAACUGUGCACAUCGUGACGGUACCUAAUCAGAAAGCCACGGCUAACUACGUG